rnacentral:rRNA from 1 species
AUUGAACGCUGGCGGCAGGCCUAACACAUGCAAGUCGAGAGAACGGAGGACGGGGGAGGAAUGUAUGGGGACUGCCCGAUUGAGGGGGAUAACUACAGGAAACGGUGGCUAAUACCGCAUACUGUUGGAUAACCCAUAUGGUAUUCGAUAGUAGGUAAGGUAAUGGCUUACCUAGGCGACGAUCCCUAGCUGGUCUGAGAGGAGGAUCAGCCACACUGUGACGUAGACACGUCCCCGAUUCCUACGGAGGCAGCAGUGGGGAAUAUUGCACAAUGGGCGCAAGUCUGAUGCAGCCAUGCCGCGGGUAUGAAGAAGGCCCUAGGGUUGUAAAGGACAUUCAGUCGGGAGGCGUUACCGACAGAAGACGCACCGGCUAACUCCGUGCCAGCAGCCGCGGUAAUAC